CAGGACGUGGGGUGGUGGUGGUGGCAUAGCACAAAAUGGCUGCUACAGGGCUUGGUAUAACAUAAAAUGGCUGCCAUGGGGAAUGCCACAGGACAUAUAAUUAAAGAGACAACAAGCCCUGGCAACUUUAUUGUUACCAUGGGAAGUCAACUAUAUUCCUGCUGCUCCCAUUUGAGGAGAUUACACCACAUUGAUUACACACAGAGAGAGAGAUGCUGUUGCUGUCUAAGAACAACACUACCAGGAAAUAUAAACAAGUACCUUUGUCUCCAGAUUGCCAGAAAGGGCAGGGAGCAGCAUGUCCAAGCCCACUGCAAUGAAGCUUCCUGCCCAACAGCUGAUGAGUGGGGGAUGAGAGCUCCUGUGUGCCAUUUUGGAGUCCAUAAAUUCUUUUUUUUUUAAGCCUUUAAAAUCUCUUUAGGGUCUAUGGAGGGUCUUCUCAUGAGCCACAAGGACUUUCCAGCUCUCUCCCAUUAUUUCCAAGUUUGAAUUGAUCUACUGGCACCACACAUAUAUGCAGUCACUCGAGCUGCUAAUGGAGUUUCAUCUUUGUUUUGGAGCUUCCUCGGGAUCUCCCCUGCUAACCCUAUUCUUUGUUGGAGUCCUCCACCCUCUGGACCCCACGGUA